AAACAGACAAGGUGUUUAGAUGCAGAGCAGCAUUGAUCAGGGACUGGGGCGUUUCAUUAAACAGACAUGGUGUUUAGAUGCAGAGCAGCAUUGAUCAGGGACUGGGGCGUUUCAUUAAACAGACAUGGUGUUUAGAUGCAGAGCAGCAUUGAUCAGGGACUGGGGCGUUUCAUUAAACAGACAUGGUGUUUAGAUGCAGAGCAGCAUUGAUCAGGGACUGGGGCGUUUCAUUAAACAGACAUGGUGUUUAGAUGCAGAGCAGCAUUGAUCAGGGACUGGGGCGUUUCAUUAAACAGACAAGGUGUUUAGAUGCAGAGCAGCAUUGAUCAGGGACUGGGGCGUUUCAUUAAACAGACAUGGUGUUUAGAUGCAGAGCAGCAUUGAUCAGGGACUGGGGCGUUUCAUUAAACAGACAUGGUGUUUAGAUGCAGAGCAGCAUUGAUCAGGGACUGGGGCGUUUCAUUAAACAGACAUGGUGUUUAGAUGCAGAGCAGCAUUGAUCAGGGACUGGGGCGUUUCAUUAAACAGACAUGGUGUUUAGAUGCAGAGCAGCAUUGAUCAGGGACUGGG